rnacentral:tRNA from 2 species
UGAGAAGUAGCACAAUUUGGUAGUGCUCGUGGUUUGGGACCACGGGGUUAUGGGUUCAAAUCCCAUCUUCUCAACCA